UACGGGGGGGGCAAGCGUUGUUCGGAAUUACUGGGCGUAAAGGGCUCGUAGGCGGCCAACUAAGUCAGACGUGAAAUCCCCAGGCUCAACCUGGGAACUGCGUCUGAUACUGGAUGGCUUGAAUCCGGGAGAGGGAUGCAGAAUUCCAGGUGUAGCGGUGAAAUGCGUAGAUAUCGGGAGGAACACCAGUGGCGAAGGCGACUACCUGGCCUGUUUCUUGACGCUGAGGCGCGAAAGCUAGGGGAGCAAACGGG
rnacentral:rRNA from 1 species